GGUCUGUAGCUCAGUUGGUAGAGCACUCGUCUAGCAUGCGUGAGGCACUGGGUUUGAGCCCCAGCACCA
rnacentral:tRNA from 1 species